rnacentral:antisense_RNA from 1 species
UGCUUUGGCGGACGGUGCGUGGGGAUUCAUCAGAAUCCGCUGGAGUCUUUUUCCUCGCGCUUGAGUUGUUGGGUCUCCGGUACGCCAACCCGCACCGUCCGCCACCCCG